ensembl:snRNA LOC120099415 U6 spliceosomal RNA
GUGCUGGCUUUGGCAGCGCAUACACUAAAAUUGGAAUGAUAGAAGAUUAAUUAGCAUGGCCCCAGUGCAGACAUGACAUGCAAAUUUGUGAAGCAUUCCAUAUUUUU